UACGUAGGGUGCGAGCGUUAAUCGGAAUUACUGGGCGUAAAGCGUGCGCAGGCGGUUUUGUAAGCCCGAUGUGAAAGCCCCGGGCUUAACCUGGGAAUGGCAUUUGGGACUGCAAGGCUCGAGUGCGGCAGAGGAGACUGGAAUUCCUGGUGUAGCAGUGAAAUGCGUAGAUAUCAGGAGGAAUACCGAUGGCGAAGGCAGGUCUCUGGGCUGACACUGACGCUCAUGCACGAAAGCGUGGGGAGCAAACAGG
rnacentral:rRNA from 1 species